rnacentral:lncRNA from 1 species
ACCGAUCAUAUUGUUCUUGUAUCAACUCGAUAUAUGGUACAAAGGGCAUAUCAUCACUGCAAUAGGAUGCUUUCAGCACAGGAUUUGGCAUCGAGACUGUAUACCUUUCUCUAAAGUCUCUGAACAUAUAGGAUUUUGAGGUGUGGGGACCAAUGAAUAAUCUCUUGUAGCUUCUCCUCCAAAGAAUAAUAGCGUGAUCUGGCGAUCCGAUGAUAAGAUUCGACA